UAAAAAUUUACGGACAGCAAGAAAUGCAUUAGCUUGACGCUUGAUGAAAAGAGCAGGCGUGACAUUUCUAGCUUACCGCUUCGUCGGAAAAGGAGAAGAGAAAAGUCCAAAGAAGGAAACGAAAUCGCCAACAGCUCGUGUGUAAAUCUAUUGCUGAAGUGACCGGGAGUAGAAAAAGAUAGCAACACUUUAAACCAAUAUGAAAACGUGUGUACCGCUGAAAGGAGGUUUGCAUGACAAUGCGAAAAUUCAAGGAACUCGGACAAGCGCCAACAGCAUUUUCAUUUCACGAGUUGAUAUUCUAAUAGGUUCUCGCAUUCAUUUGCUACGAAACGCCAGAGGAAGGAUAUUAGCGAAAAUGGAGUGAAAUCAACUUCCCAAGUGUUGUAGUGAUGUCAAUAAAAUACAUGCGCGUGGGAAUAGAAAGUGAUGUUUGGGCGAAUGUCUUUAUUAACAGUUAAAAAAGUAUUAUUAUCAGGCUGACACCGACAUCUUAUUUCGUGC